rnacentral:rRNA from 1 species
CCUACGGGGGGCUGCAGUGGGGAAUAUUGCACAAUGGGCGCAAGCCUGAUGCAGCCAUGCCGCGUGUGUGAAGAAGGCCUUCGGGUUGUAAAGCACUUUCAGCGGGGAGGAAGGCGUUAAGGUUAAUAACCUUGUCGAUUGACGUUACCCGCAGAAGAAGCACCGGCUAACUCCGUGCCAGCAGCCGCGGUAAUACGGAGGGUGCAAGCGUUAAUCGGAAUUACUGGGCGUAAAGCGCACGCAGGCGGUCUGUCAAGUCGGAUGUGAAAUCCCCGGGCUCAACCUGGGAACUGCAUUCGAAACUGGCAGACUAGAGUCUUGAGGAGGGGGGUAGAAUUCCAGGUGUAGCGGUGAAAUGCGUAGAGAUCUGGAGGAAUACCGGUGGCGAAGGCGGCCCCCUGGACAAAGACUGACGCUCAGGUGCGAAAGCGUGGGGAGCAAACAGGAUUAAAUACCCUGGUAGUC